CCUACGGGAGGCUGCAGUGGGGAAUAUUGCACAAUGGGCGCAAGCCUGAUGCAGCCAUGCCGCGUGUGUGAAGAAGGCCUUCGGGUUGUAAAGCACUUUCAGCGGGGAGGAAGGCGGUGAGGUUAAUAACCUCAUCGAUUGACGUUACCCGCAGAAGAAGCACCGGCUAACUCCGUGCCAGCAGCCGCGGUAAUACGGAGGGUGCAAGCGUUAAUCGGAAUUACUGGGCGUAAAGCGCACGCAGGCGGUCUGUCAAGUCGGAUGUGAAAUCCCCGGGCUCAACCUGGGAAGUGCAUUCGAAACUGGCAGGCUAGAGUCUUGUAGAGGGGGGUAGAAUUCCAGGUGUAGCGGUGAAAUGCGUAGAGAUCUGGAGGAAUACCGGUGGCGAAGGCGGCCCCCUGGACAAAGACUGACGCUCAGGUGCGAAAGCGUGGGGAGCAAACAGGAUUAGAUACCCUAGUAGUC
rnacentral:rRNA from 1 species